rnacentral:rRNA from 1 species
AGUGAACGCUGGCGGUAGGCCUAACACAUGCAAGUCGAACGGCAGCACAGUAAGAGCUUGCUCUUACGGGUGGCGAGUGGCGGACGGGUGAGGAAUACAUCGGAAUCUACUUUUUCGUGGGGGAUAACGUAGGGAAACUUACGCUAAUACCGCAUACGACCUACUGGUGAAAGCAGGGGAUCUUCGGACCCUGCGCGAUUGAAUGAGCCGAUGUCGGAUUAGCUAGUUGGCGGGGUAAAGGCCCACCAAGGCGACGAUCCGUAGCUGGUCUGAGAGGAUGAUCAGCGACACUGGAACUGAGACACGGUCCAGAAUACUACGGGAGGCAGGAGUGGGGAAUAUUGGAGAAUGGGCGCAGGCCUGAUCCAGCCAUACCGCGUGAGAGAAGAAGGCCUUCGGGUUGGAGAACCCUUUUGUUGGGAAAGAAAAGCAGCAGGUUAAUACGCCGCUGUUCUGGCGGUACCCAAAGAAUAAGCACCGGCUAACUUCGUG